rnacentral:sRNA from 1 species
CCAUUGGCAAUAGUUCCUCUAUUCUAUCAUAUUGCUGAAGGAGGCAAUGUAUUCAAGUAUAUAGAGACGGAUACUAGUAUAGACCUAACUAAAUAUCUUCCUUCACCGCCUAGCCAUAAAGUCUGUUUUUUCUCCCUAGGUUAAUUUUAAUGUCGGCGAUGCAGCCUGCCUGCUUCAUUAUCGAUGAAGGUAUGAAAGUUUUACUUUUUUUUUUUUUUGUUGUCCGUAGACGAGCGCCGGUCGUGGGCAUUGCCAAUUGGCUAUUCAUGUUGGAUAUUGACCUGGUUGCCGCUGGGUAGUAUUAUGGUAUUAUUAUGCUCAUUGCGACAGAUGCUGAGGAUUUGAACUCAUCAUUACUGGGGCUGUUAAAUGGCGCAAGGCUCAAAGGGGGUAUUUUUUCCUGGUAACGAAGUUGACAAUGGCUCCAGCGGUCCGAGAAUGAUGCAGGUCUAUGCGUGGCACCAAAAAGGGGAUUGUGCCGAACUAGCAUAAGCAUCCUUCGCAGUAUUGUCGUCCCGUCGGUUGCGCUAUUUCUUUUGAAGAGCGGAUGCCAUCAACUGAGCAUCUCCAAUCAAAGUGGAGGAGAGCCUUUGUUGUUGAGUAAUAUUUCAUUCAGAACUCAACCCGCCAAAAAACAUAUCCUCGUGACGAAC